UACGAAGGGGGCUAGCGUUGCUCGGAAUCACUGGGCGUAAAGCGCACGUAGGCGGCUUUCUAAGCCAGGGGUGAAAUCCUGGAGCUCAACUCCAGAACUGCCUUUGAUACUGGAGAGCUUGAGUUCGGGAGAGGUGAGUGGAACUCCGAGUGUAGAGGUGAAAUUCGUAGAUAUUCGGAAGAACACCAGUGGCGAAGGCGGCUCACUGGCCCGGUACUGACGCUGAGGUGCGAAAGCGUGGGGAGCAAACAGG
rnacentral:rRNA from 1 species